GGGUUUUGCCAUGUUGGCCAGGCCGGUCUGGAACUCCUGGCCUCAAGCGAUCUGCCUGCCUUGGCCUCCCAAAGUGCUAGGAUUACAGGCAUGAGCCACCGUGCCCGGCCAAGGCUGAGACUUUUCUGGUCCAAGACCUAGAUCUUUGGUUUCAAAUGAGAGUUAUUUCUGAUGUCAUCCAUUCAAUAAAUAUUUAUUAUGCGCCUGUUCUGUACCUGGCCUUGUGCCGAGCAGUGCUGAGGACAGGCCUGGCCCUGGGGUUCCCUACCUAGAUGAGGAGGAAGUCACGCCAUGCAAAGAACUGGGGGAAGAGCAUUCAGGCAGAGACCAGCCUGUGCAAAGGCUGAGGCAGCACAUACAUAGUCAAUUUCCUGCUCUCACAUCUGCUCUCACGUGGCCCAUCCUGGCUGCCCCUGAAUGGUGGCAAGUCCACGUUGGGGGUAAAGGGAGGCACUGCUAUUUGAGCAGAAACUUGAAUAAUUUCCUGGCUAAUAGAGGACUUGAGAUAAUAAUAAUAUUAACUAAGCUUUCUGGAAGAUGUCGCGUGGUCAGAACCUGCACUAAGUAGUUUACCUGUGUGAUUCUGAAUCCUCAUGUUAGUUCCUGAGGUAGGAGCUCACACCUCAUUUUGUAGAGGAAGCUCAGAGACGGUAAGUGACUUGCCCAAGGCUGCACAGCCAGUGAGUAACAGCUGAGAUUCAAAUCAACUCUAUGUGACUCUACACUCCAUGCUCUAAAAUCAUGCCCAUGGCCAGGCGUGAGCCACCAGGCCUGGCCACCUCUUUGUAUCUUUAAACACCAGCCAGUGACCUCCAGGACCCUGGGGUGGACUUCAGGGAGGGAACACACCCCAAUUUGUUUGGAAAUUUGGGCAUCCACUUUUUCCUGGUGCUAAGACCCCUUUCUAAUGGGUUCCCAAAAAGACUUCAUAAUCCCUGGUCUAAAUGUUUUUCGGGAGGCAUUUGGCUUAGUUGGAGGAUACCCUGAUGCUGGGACCCCAACAUUAGAGGUUGAAAGGAUGGUAGCCCAGAGGAGAAGAUGAGGUUUGGGGUUUAGUGCCCCAGCAAGUCAGAGCCCAGGGUUUCCCAGGACGGAGGAAGACGGAAGGGUCACAGGAGGGACAGGGUUGGGGAAUCUGUCUUAAAAGAUGAAAAGUUGUGACCACUUUCUGGACCUUACCUUUCUCUUUCUCUUUCUCUUCCUUCCACAGAUGAAUUGGGUGAGUAUCACAGGGCAGGUUUGCGGGG
rnacentral:lncRNA from 10 species